rnacentral:rRNA from 2 species
UGGGGGAUAUUGCACAAUGGAGGAAACUCUGAUGCAGCGAUGACGCGUGAGGGAAGACGGUUUUCGGAUUGUAAACCUCUGUCUUUGUGGACGAUAAUGACGGUACCCAAGGAGGAAGCACCGGCUAACUGCGUGCCAGCAGCCGCGGUAAUACGUAGGGUGCAAGCGUUGUCCGGAAUUACUGGGUGUAAAGGGAGUGUAGGCGGGAAGUCAAGUUGAAUGUUAAAUCCAUCGGCUCAACCGGUGGCUGUGUUCAAAACUGAUUUUAUUGAGUGAAGUAGAGGCAGGCGGAAUUCCUAGUGUAGCGGUGAAAUGCGUAGAUAUUAGGAGGAACACCAGUGGCGAAGGCGGACUGCUGGGCUUUUACUGACGCUGAGGCUCGAAAGCGUGGGGAGCAAACAGG